rnacentral:rRNA from 1 species
UCUGGCGACAUUAGCGCUAUGGAACCACCCGAUCCCAUCCCGAACUCGGAAGUGAAACGUAGCUGCGCCGAUGGUAGUGUGCAGUUGAGCAUGCGAGAGUAGGUCAUCGCCAGAU